GUGCUCGCUUUGGCAGCACAUUUACUAAAAUUGGAACAAUACAGAGAAGAUUAGCAUGGUCCUGCAUAAAGCAUUCCAUUUUUUUCAUUCUUUU
rnacentral:snRNA from 1 species